GACGAACGCUGGCGGCGUGCUUAACACAUGCAAGUCGAACGAGUGGCGAACGGGUGAGUACUACGCAAGUAACCUGCCCUCUUGUUGGGAUAAGCCUUCGAAACGGGGUCUAACACCGGACAUAGGGGGAUGGCCUCGCGGCCUCUCAGCUUGUUGGUGGGGUGAUGGCCUACCAAGGCGGUAAUGGGUUGCCGGACUGAGAGGGUGCCCGGCCACAUAGGGACUGAGAUACGGCCCAGGCUCCUACGGGGGGGAGCAGUGGGGGAUAUAGCACAAGGGGCGAAAGCCGGAUGCAGCGACUGUGCGGGGGGGAUGAAGGCUUUCGGGUUGUUAACCUCUUUCGCUAUCGCAGGGGUAGGUGGAGAAGAGGCGCCGGCUAACUACGUGCCAGCAGCCGCGGUAAUAC
rnacentral:rRNA from 1 species